rnacentral:lncRNA from 1 species
CCCGCCACCGAGAAGCCCUCACCUCAAUCAUGGUCUUGGUCGUCCUAAGUCAGCGAGGAGAGGCUGCACUUGGAGCCGUAUUCAAGAAAGAAGAACGCCAUGGCUGCCAGCUGUUGGUACGGUGCCAUUCGGACGGCCGGCGGUGGGCGCCGAAGGCCGCGCCGGCUGCUGAGCCGUGUCGCGCCGCUCAGAAGACGCCCCAUCAUCGCGCGGCGCCCCGGACCGGACCGCCCGGCGCCCCGGACCGGACCGGACCGGGAUCACCGGGUGGUGGCGCGUGCCGCGACCCACUUCGUCACUCACCGCCGGCUCAGCACAGCGUCUCCAUCGGUCAUCAUUGGCGCCGCAAUCAAUAACGAGCCGGGACGCCACGUUGAGAGCCCCCGCCUCGUGACGUCAGCCCUGCCGGACGCCGUCUGACCGCUGCUGACCUGCAGCUGACCGACGAGGCUGCUGUGGGGACGGACGACCAGUCUUGCACCGCGCCGAGGUGCGCUGCGUUCCCGAGCGGCGUUCCGAGGAGAGAGUGAAACGGACGGAGAAAAGGAGCCGAGGACCACGUGCUCUGCUGCCGCCAACUACCCGCGUCGGCCGAGGUUUGGAUUCGAGUCGGCGACGGUCCCCUCCACGCUGCCUCGCGUCGGCUCGUUUGUAGGGUAGGACGGCCCCUAAAAAACGCACCGACGGAGUGAUAACGACGAGGUAAAUGGUCGGGAUUAAGGAUAUGCAGGUUUGACGAAUCUCGAAGUCGCAUCUAUUAAAAAGGUGAGGGUGGGUGGGAAACUUCUCGCCCACUCUCUGCUCCACUCGCCGUCCGUCGCAGUCGACGACUGCCGUUCGCGCCUCUCGGCUCUCCUGCCAGCGGCGCGCCCGUUCCUACACUCCCCUUCGCACCACCCCUAGUCAGGGUCUGCCCCGCGUCUGUCGGCGGGGUGAUUUAUCUGUCUCCGACCCCCGUCUCCCUUUGCUCCGGUCACGUUCAGUGGCGCCCGGGCAGGGUCCUAACCUUCCAUAGCCGCGUCGCCGCUAUGAGUUGAUUAGGCCCCCGUUGCCCGCGCCACUAUCACCAAGCGUUCGCCUCAGUUGGCUGUCAGCGGCCGAAACCACUCGCGUCGGCUCGUUUGUAGGGUAGGACGGCCCCUAAAAAACGCCAAAUACACCCAAUGGAAUGAAAAAGUCUUAGGCUAAGCGUCCGCUGCCCACACCUUCUCGAUCUCUGCUGAGCAGUUAAUGGUUUGACCACGAACCCGGGCACAUGCCGCAUGCGGAAAGGUUCCCAGUGUGUUCCGCUGGCGAUGCCCGGUCUGUUAUUGCGGCAUGGCUCUUGGUGGUGAGUUUGGGUCGAACCAGUUAGUGUGAACCGGGGCGGCGAGGGACUCCCUCCACCCCAAGGUCGGCUCCCGUCCUGAGUCAGCUGUGACUGGACCCCAUACUCCCCGCACAGUGCCGCCAGUGACUCACUGUCGACCGGCGUGGGGGCGCCGCAACCCACUAAUGGAACGUGACCGUGUUCGGGGUGUUCGUUAGUCGUCUGCCUCUCGUGGCCGCCGGGGGACAGCGGGGGAGCCGGGUCGUGCGGCGUCGGCUGGUAUCAGGUUGCGGCGGGGCGGCCCGUCAGGCUGCUGUCGCCCGGUUUGAGGACCGUGGCGGCCCCACUGUGGGCCUCUGUGGCCCCGCGGACAGUACCGGCAGGCGGGCCCGCGGCUGCCCCGGCGUUGACUGUCUCAUCAGCCGGUCCGGUGUCAUGGCGGUGCCGGGGCUGUGCCAGCGGCCGGCGGCCGGCUCUGGCUCCGCCGAUGGCUGUCUUUUCUGACUGGCGGUCGGCGCGGGCGGCCUUGGGGGAGGGGGGGGGGGAGGGCGACUGUGGUUCCCGGCGGCCCUGCCGUGUCGUGCGCUGAUAUUCCGGUGUGUGUGAAGCCAUGCCUGGACACACUGCGGUGAGGGGGGGGGGGUCCGAUCCGAUGGUUUUGUCCCCGUGUCGGUCUUGGACCCCCGUGUUCGCGGCCUCGGGGUUGUGAUGUUUAGCCCGGCACGCUUCCCGGCGCCUAAACCGACGUCAUCGGUGCUGGCUAAAAUGGAAUGCCGCGAAUCUGGGAUCAGUGGCCUGGUUUCGCCUUUGAUAUCGUGCUGCAGAUUAUCUAGUCGUCGGCAGCGGUCCCGUAGACCUAUGUUGCGCGCAACUUAGCCGCGGCGUCGGCGGCGGACCCGGUUUACGUGCUUAUACGACCGCACAUACAUAAAUGAGGUUUGUAUGGCCAUGUGGCCGUGAAUGACUGGUAGAAAAGGUUGUGCAUAGAUUCCGGUGCUGUGAUGGCGCCGCACGCAAAGCACAGUGCCUCACCUCACGGAAAGUAGGAACGGUGCAUUGUUAGCGUACUUUAAAUGCACCUACCCCUACCUAAGAAUCACGUGCUGUUCAUGAGGCCUGUGAGCACGGGCGCCGAUGACUUUUCUGCCCCUCCGUUCUGGCCUGCGGGAUGACAACUUUGCAUUGCCAGCGCAUAUGGGGACUCACAUUUGGCAGCUGCUCGCACGGGUUACCGUGGGUGGGCAGGGUUCGCGAAAGUGUCGGCUGCCAGCUUGCCGCAGAUUGCAGUGUCGCGACGCUUACUCGGAGUCUCGAGAUUGGGGAGCCGGCAGGCAGCGGCGUAGUCGGUGUAGUUGUGUCCGGGCAUGAUCUUGCAUGCAUUUUGUCUGUGCUUGCUCGAUUCCUGCAUUCAGAAUACACUUUGAGAGCAGUUUGAA